ACACUCCUGCGGGAGGCAGCAGUGGGGAAUUUUGGACAAUGGGCGAAAGCCUGAUCCAGCAAUGCCGCGUGAGUGAAGAAGGCCUUCGGGUUGUAAAGCUCUUUUGUCAGGGAAGAAACGGUGAGAGCUAAUAUCUCUUGCUAAUGACGGUACCUGAAGAAUAAGCACCGGCUAACUACGUGCCAGCAGCCGCGGUAAUACGUAGGGUGCAAGCGUUAAUCGGAAUUACUGGGCGUAAAGCGUGCGCAGGCGGUUUUGUAAGUCUGAUGUGAAAUCCCCGGGCUCAACCUGGGAAUUGCAUUGGAGACUGCAAGGCUAGAAUCUGGCAGAGGGGGGUAGAAUUCCACGUGUAGCAGUGAAAUGCGUAGAUAUGUGGAGGAACACCGAUGGCGAAGGCAGCCCCCUGGGUCAAGAUUGACGCUCAUGCACGAAAGCGUGGGGAGCAAACAGGAUUAGAAACCCUAGUAGUCCCAU
rnacentral:rRNA from 1 species